GCGGGCGCCUGUAAUCCCAGCUACUUGGGAGGCAGAGGCAGGAGAAUCGCUUGAACCCGGGAGGCGGAGGUUGCAGUGAGCCAAGACUGCGCCACUGCACUCCAGCCUGGGCGAUAGAGCCAGAUGCUGUCUCAAAAAAAAUAAAUAGAUAAGAAGAAAAAAUAAUUACCUUACCACAGAGAUAUAUCCUGCUUAUAAGUUUCAAGAUAGUUUCUAUACAUAUAUAUCUAUAAAUUUUUUUUUCCACAAAUGUCAAAUACUGUUUUGUAGCCUAUUUUUCACAUUAGAUAUGGUGAAUGUUUUCCAUGUCACUAAUUAUACAUCUAGGUCAUAGUUUUCUUAAAAAUAGAAAUAGCUUUAUUACAUUUUCUGAUUGUAAAAGUAGUAUGGGCUCAUUGCAAAUAAUUCAGAGAAUACAGAAAAAUAGAAAAAAAUCACCCAUAAACUCACCACGCAGAGUUCACUCUAAGUAUAUAGUUGGGUAUAAUGUUUGGGUAUGUACCUUUUCAAAGUUUUUUUAGAUGUUUGAUAUGUAUAGCUAAAUAUUUUCAUGUCAGUAAAUAUGCUCAUAAAUCAUAAUUUUUAAUGGCUACAUUGUAUCCCAUUAUGUUGUUGAACUAUAAUUUAACCAAUCCCUAUAGUGCUUCUGGUUGGGUAUUUUUACUUUUGACAUUAUGAUGAGGAUCUUUGGACAUAUCUUUGCAUACUUGUCCAUUACUUCCUAAGAUAAACUCCUAGAGGUGUAAUUGCUAAUUCAAAUAGUAUGAACAUUUUCAAAGGCUUUUCAUAUGUAUUUCCAAAUUUCUCUCCAAAAAGGUGUUCCAGUUCACUCUGCCAGCAUGUGUUUGUGUCCCAUAUUCUAAUACCAUUCUUUUUUUAAUAGUGGUCUGAUUUAUGAAAAAUGUUAUCUAUGAAAAUAAUAUUUCCUUAGUUAAUAAUGAAGGUUGUUUCCCCCAUGUUGAUUGACCAUUGGUAUUUUGGUAAAUUUCCUGUUCAUGUACUUUGUUCAUUUUCAAAAAUUGACAUGGCCCCUUUAUUCAUUUGAAAGAAUUAUACAUUAGGAGUAUUAACUGUUUCCACAUAUUUUGCAGAUAUUUCCCCUAAAUCUGUUAAUGUUGAAAACUACUGGUUUGAUUAUAAAUUUGUAUAUUAAAUUUUUACCAUCAGUGUGAAAUUCAAUAAGAUAGAGUUAUGGAGAUAGUGUCUAAUGCUGCAAACAGUCUGUGUAGUACGAUACAGUGACCCAGUGUUGUUCUUUUUGUUAACAGGUAAGAAAAGAAGUUUUUGUUUUACGUUUUCUCAAAUUCCUUUGGAGUAGAAGUGUUUUAUCUUCAUUCCUCAAGGCACCAAGCCUAAUGCCAUUGACCCCUUUAAGAAUUCGUUUUUGAAUUGUCUGAAACUUUUAUUGACUUCAUAAUAUCUUGAGUAUUCGUUCUUAUAAGUUAACUUAGUUACCUGGAUCUUUGUUUAGAAUCCUGGUUUCUUCUUUUUCUGAGGAGCAGCUGAACCGUUAUGAAAUGUAUCGCCGCUCAGCUUUCCCUAAGGCAGCCAUCAAAAGGCUGAUCCAGUCCAUCACUGGCACCUCUGUGUCUCAGAAUGUUGUUAUUGCUAUGUCUGGUAUUUCCAAGGUUUUCGUCGGGGAGGUGGUAGAAGAAGGUGAGUAGUGUUGGUUACAAAUACUGGAUUGUACCUGUGGUGGUCUUAUUUUUAAGAAUAUCUACACAAAGGAGCUUAUUAAAGCACCUAUGGGAGUUCUCAUUUGCACUUGAAGUUGACCAAGUGGGGAGCCCUUUAUUUAGGAGAACAUGACUGUUAUUCCUUGCAAGUUUCAAUAACAGAUGGUAAGGAACCAUCUGGGAAAUCCCCUCCCUGAUUCCUUUCCUCAGCCCAGGGUGAAAGAAGUAGACUUUGUAUUUUCUGCAGUGGACUUUGCUCAUUUCUGCUGCCAAAAGUAAAGAUACAAGAAAAGCAAUCACAGGGGUGACCUGUGUGGGAUGGUGAGUUGUCCCUAAUGUUGUGAUCCCUAGGAACUGCCUGACCCCUUUAUUGAGUAAAAAGCCUGGCUGUUUCCCAUUGCUACUCUAGCUGGUGAAAUUUUUUUUUUUUUUUUGAGCAGGAGAUAUAUACUUUUAAAUUAUUAUUAUUUUUUGAGACAGGGUCUCACUCUGUCACCCAGGCUGGAGUGCAGUGGCAUGAUCUUUAUUAUUUUUUUUAAUAUUUUUUAUUUUUCCUUUUACAAAUCACAAAUUAAGAUGGUAUACAAAAUGAGAUGGUAACAGUGGUGUGAUCAUAGCUCACUACAACCUCAAACUCCUGGGCUCAAAGGAUCCUCUUGCCUCAGCCUCCCAAGUAGCUGGGACUGUAGGCGUGCACUACCAUACCUGGCUAAUUUUUAAUUUUAUUUUUAUGUAGUUAUUUGAGACAGGGUCUCACUCUGUCACCCAGGCUGGAGUGCCUUGAUCAUGCGAUCACAGCUCACUGUAACAGUUAGCUCCUGGGCUCGGGUGAUUCUCCUGCCUCAGUCUGAGUAGUUGAGACCACAGGUGCGCACCACCACCCCUGGCUAACUUUUUAAUUUUUUGUAGAGACAAGGUUUGGCCAUGUUGCCCAGGUUGGUCUCGAACUCCUAGGCUCAAGCAAUCCUCCCACCUUGGCCUCCCUAACUGCUGGGAUUAUAGGCAUGAGCCACAGCAUAUGGCCUAUAGGAAAUAUAUUUUAAACUGUUGUCUAUGAUAAAGCCUGUUAUGAGACGUUAUACUAAUAUUCUCUUAAAAAGGAAAAAUGUCUGUUUAUUUCCUUAGCAAGCUUAAGAAAAGUUAACAAGAAUUACAGGACUCAAAAGGAUUAUGUGAUUAGUAAAUUAUUGUGUGAUAAUCAGACUUUCUCCUUACCCUCUGUUUAGCACUGGAUGUGUGUGAGAAGUGGGGAGAAAUGCCACCACUACAACCCAAACAUAUGAGGGAAGCCGUUAGAAGGUUAAAGUCAAAAGGACAGAUCCCUAACUCGAAGCACAAAAAAAUCAUCUUCUUCUAGACCAAAGUCUAGAAAGGCCUAUGUUACUGACGGAAGAAGUAUUGGUUCCAGACUUCCUAUAAGACUGUCUGCAUUGGUGCUUUAGUAUCUCAGGCCUCCAAGGAUUCCAUGAUGAUUUUAAUGUCUUUCUCAAAACUCUGAUAUUUGUCACACCUAGAAAGUAUGUAGCCUGAUUGAUACUUGCCUUGACUAAAUUUUGGGACCUCUUGGGGCAUUUUGAAGUAUUUAACUGUCUUGACCAGUUGGAAGAAGAUACGUGGGCCAUAAGCAUCUUCUGGACAGGGGAACUGCUUUCAGAGAGAAAACCUUUCCAAGAGAGUUUUGUUUUGUUUUGGUUUCGUUUUGUUUGAGAUAGGGUCUUGCUCUAUCACCUAGGCUGGAGUGCAGCGGCAUGACUGCAGCCUUGAACUCCUGGGCUUAAGUGACCCUCCCACCUCAGUCUCCUGAGUAGCUAGGACUACAGGCACACACUACUGUGCCCAGCUAACUUAUUUUUAUUUUUUAUGGAGAUGGGGUCUUGCUUUGUUGCCCAGGCUGGUCGUGAACUCCUGGCUUCAAGCAGUCCUCCUGCCUCAGCCUCCUAAAGUGCUGAGGGCUUUAAUGGUUUCACAUUGAAGCCUGAAGUUGCUAAGACUUAGGUUGUUUCUUAUAUCUGGUUUUAAGUAGAUGAAACAACCAGAAACUUUUACUUGUGAUACUCUACCAUGAAGGAUGCGGUAAUGGCAGGAAUAGCAGAAUAAUUGGUGCUUGUAAACAUUUAAGAUUCUCCUGUGGAUUUUGGUGAGUGAUCAUUAAACUGUUUUCCAACUUGC
rnacentral:lncRNA from 1 species